CUGUACGGAGGCAUGGGAGGUCUAUACGGAGGCGUGGGAGGUCUAUACGGAGGCAUGGGAGGUCUGUACGGAGGACUUGGAGGCUAUGGUGGUCUCUACGGCGGAAUUGGAGGAUACGGAAUGGGAUUGGGAAAAGGUAUCGGCUAUUAUUGAGUUAUUAUCACCUGCAGUGUGAUGCUGGCUAUUUAUGUAUAUUCUCAAACCAAUGGAAUUGGUUCA